rnacentral:rRNA from 1 species
GGAGGUAGUGACAAUAAAUCACAAUGCGGGACUCCUAGUCUUGCAAUUGGAUUGAGAACAACGUACAACUCUUAUCGAUAAGCCAUUGGAGGGCAAGUCUGGUGCCAGCAGCCGCGGUAAUUCCAGCUCCAAUAGCGUAUAUUAACGUUGUUGCAGUUAAAAAGCUCGUAGUUGAAGUGAGGGAGUGUGUAGUAGGACCGACUUGAUCGGAACUGCUGCAACCUCCCCCCUCCAAUCGGUGUAGUGGGGUAUUCACUUAUUUCACUACUCCUUUGGUCGUUUACUGUGAGAAAAUUAGAGUGUUCAAAGCGGGCGUUUGUUUGAAUAGAUUAGCAUGGAAUAAUGAUUGAAGGCUUUCGUGUUCGAUUUGAUUGGUUUGUUCAUGGAAGCAAGGUUAAAAGGAACAGUUGGGGGUAUUCAUAUUCACUAGUUAGAGGUGAAAUUCUCGGAUUUAUGGAAGAUGAACAAGUGCGAAAGCA